UACGUAGGCAGCAAGCGUUGUUCGGAGUUACUGGGCGUAAAGGGUGUGUAGGCGGUUGCUUAAGUUUGGUGUGAAAUCUCCCGGCUCAACUGGGAGGGUGCGCCGAAUACUGAGUGACUCGAGUGCGGGAGAGGAAAGUGGAAUUCCUGGUGUAGCGGUGAAAUGCGUAGAUAUCAGGAGGAACACCGGUGGUGUAGACGGCUUUCUGGACCGUAACUGACGCUGAGACACGAAAGCGUGGGUAGCAAACAGG
rnacentral:rRNA from 1 species